GACGAACGCUGGCGGCGUGCUUAACACAUGCAAGUCGAACGGAAAGGCCCUGCUUUUGUGGGGUGCUCGAGUGGCGAACGGGUGAGUAACACGUGAGUAACCUGCCCUUGACUUUGGGAUAACUUCAGGAAACUGGGGCUAAUACCGGAUAGGAGCUCCUGCUGCAUGGUGGGGGUUGGAAAGUUUCGGCGGUUGGGGAUGGACUCGCGGCUUAUCAGCUUGUUGGUGGGGUAGUGGCUUACCAAGGCUUUGACGGGUAGCCGGCCUGAGAGGGUGACCGGCCACAUUGGGACUGAGAUACGGCCCAGACUCCUACGGGAGGCAGCAGUGGGGAAUAUUGCACAAUGGGCGGAAGCCUGAUGCAGCAACGCCGCGUGCGGGAUGACGGCCUUCGGGUUGUAAACCGCUUUCGCCUGUGACGAAGCGUGAGUGACGGUAAUGGGUAAAGAAGCACCGGCUAACUACGUGCCAGCAGCCGCGGUGAUACGUAGGGUGCGAGCGUUGUCCGGAUUUAUUGGGCGUAAAGGGCUCGUAGGUGGUUGAUCGCGUCGGAAGUGUAAUCUUGGGGCUUAACCCUGAGCGUGCUUUCGAUACGGGUUGACUUGAGGAAGGUAGGGGAGAAUGGAAUUCCUGGUGGAGCGGUGGAAUGCGCAGAUAUCAGGAGGAACACCAGUGGCGAAGGCGGUUCUCUGGGCCUUUCCUGACGCUGAGGAGCGAAAGCGUGGGGAGCGAACAGGCUUAGGUACCCUGGUAGUCCACGCUGUAAACGGUGGGUACUAGGUGUGGGGUCCAUUCCACGGGUUCCGUGCCGUAGCUAACGCUUUAAGUACCCCGCCUGGGGAGUACGGCCGCAAGGCUAAAACUCAAAGGAAUUGACGGGGCCCCGCACAAGCGGCGGAGCAUGCGGAUUAAUUCGAUGCAACGCGUAGAACCUUACCUGGGUUUGACAUGGAUCGGGAGUGCUCAGAGAUGGGUGUGCCUCUUUUGGGGUCGGUUCACAGGUGGUGCAUGCCUGUCGUCAGCUCGUGUCGUGAGAUGUUGGGUUAAGUCCCGCAACGAGCGCAACCCUUGUUCACUGUUGCCAGCACGUUAUGGUGGGGACUCAGUGGAGACCGCCGGGGUCAACUCGGAGGAAGGUGGGGAUGACGUCAAGUCCUCAUGCCCCUUAUGUCCAGGGCUUCACGCAUGCUACAAUGGCUGGUACAGAGAGUGGCGAGCCUGUGAGGGUGAGCGAAUCUCGGAAAGCCGGUCUCAGUUCGGAUUGGGGUCCGCAACUCGACCUCAUGAAGUCGGAGUCGCUAGUAAUCGCAGAUCAGCAACGCUGCGGUGAAUACGUUCCCGGG
rnacentral:rRNA from 1 species